rnacentral:lncRNA from 1 species
GGUGGAAAGCCCUGGGCCCCUGCUGGGGGUUGGGGUUGGGGGCUGGGUCGCCUGCGCCGAGUGUUGCUGAGGCUGCGUCUUGGGUGCGCAGCUCCGGCCCAGCCUCACCCAGGGGAACGCCUCGCAGGUGCUCACGGACGAUGGAGAGGUCCGCGCCCAGGGUGGGAGUCCGCGCUUCCGGCCGCCACCACCUCCACCUCCCUGCCAUCCUCGACAAGAUGCCUGCCCCCGGCGCCCUCAUCCUCCUUGCGGCCGUCUCCGCCUCCGGCUGCCUGGCGUCCCCGGCCCACCCCGGU